GACGAACGCUGGCGGCGUGCUUAACACAUGCGAGUCGAACGGAAAGGCCCUGCUUUUGUGGGGUGUUCGAGUGGCGAACGGGUGAGUAACACGUGAGUAACCUGCCCUUGACUUUGGGAUAACUUCAGGAAACUGGGGCUAAUACCGGAUAGGAGCUCCUGCUGCAUGGUGGGGGUUGGAAAGUUUCGGCGGUUGGGGAUGGACUCGCGGCUUAUCAGCUUGUUGGUGGGGUAGUGGCUUACCAAGGCUUUGACGGGUAGCCGGCCUGAGAGGGUGACCGGCCACAUUGGGACUGAGAUACGGCCCAGACUCCUACGGGAGGCAGCAGUGGGGAAUAUUGCACAAUGGGCGGAAGCCUGAUGCAGCAACGCCGCGUGCGGGAUGACGGCCUUCGGGUUGUAAACCGCUUUCGCCUGUGACGAAGCGUGAGUGACGGUAAUGGGUAAAGAAGCACCGGCUAACUACGUG
rnacentral:rRNA from 1 species